rnacentral:lncRNA from 1 species
AGUGGACAGGCAUAUUACAUACACGAUGGUGAAAAUGUCGUAUUUUCCGAAUGGAUAGUCCCUUUAGUAUGUAUUGAACACACAUUUAGCUUUAAUUGAACAUACAUGCCCUAUUCAAUUAGUUAACUAAAAGACUGUACUAACUAAUUGAAGUCCAAUGCACAUUAAUUACUGAAUUAUCUAACAUUGAACUUAAAAUCUGUCCUUUUCUCCUAGCAUAUUCCAAAAUUCCACUGGCUUUAAGGAAGUUUUGCAUGUGCAUAUCUAUGGAGUUUGGCCCUUAUUAUUUUAAGAGAAUUUAGCUAAGAGGUAUCUCAUAGUGCAUGAAAACUUCUACUAUUAGUAUCUGGGAGAUGGUUUAUAGCCAUUGGUUAAUUCUCUGUUAUGCUAUCUGCUGCAGCACAAAAGAGAAGGCCAUUUAGAGUCACAUCUUAAAAGAUAAAAUGAGGCAACAUUAUAACCAGCAGGCUGGGAUUUUAGGAACUUGCUUAAGUUUUGAUCUUGCAAUGCCAACACAGAAAAGACUUCCAGAAAGCUGACUUCAGGAGAACUAUGGGCCUGUAUCUAAUUAUAGUUAAGUAUUCCUAUCUCAGUCACUGGCUCCUUGGAAAUAGCAUUGUUUCCUGUUCACCAUCCAAUUCAAUUUGAAGGGUGUGAGGUGGACACCAAAGUAGUUGUGGGUUUCAAUUGCAUUUCUUACUACCAGUAUUGAUAGGAAGAUUAACUGGAAAAGUUUAGAUAUAUUUUAUCAAUAUUCAUUUGUCCAUUUUCAUGCUUCAUAGACACCCUCAAAUCAAUACAAAUUCUCUGUUAUUCUUUUCUCUUACACCCUUUCUAGUUUGAAAAAUUAGGCUAUAGGAAACCCUGGAUACAUAUUCCUGUUCUCCUGGUUCACAUAGCAGCCACUGUGAUGGAGUAUCUGCACCUGGCACUAAAGCCAGUUUUUAUCUUUACACCUUUCUUGACAAGGAAUGAGGUAUGGAACGUUACUGUAACUCACACUUUCCGAAUAGAUAAAGCACGAAAUCAACUUGGUUACAAACCAAAGAAAUUCUCAUUAGCUGAUUCUGUGGAUCAUUAUCUUAAAACAAGACCUAUUUGCCAAGAAGAUCACACAUUCCUUAAAAUGUUGUUUGCUUUUGGCCUUUUAUUAAGUUUGAUGAUUCUUUAUUUCUUCUAA